rnacentral:lncRNA from 1 species
CUUAACUUCAAUAUUUUCCUGCUGAGCCUGAGAGUGCUUUGUAUACCCUAGCAAGAUGAAAAUCUUAGCUGCAGCAUCAGGAAGAGGACACCUCACUUUAUCCUACAUUCCUAUCUCAGUCAGGAAAGUAGCUCUAGAGAAGGAACUAAGAAGUCAAGGCCUUUUGUGAAGUUGCUCUGUUAUCUCUGUGGCCCCAAAGACCAAAAUGAUGGAGAAAAUGAAACCAGGAUGAUUUCUGACAUCUGCUUCCACUCCACCUUCUUUAACCACUUCAUCCACAUCUCUCUUAGCUUCUCACAUAAGUCUCACCUGGAAUCAUCUUAUUUACACCAAUAAAUUUACCUACCACCUGCCUGUUGAUUGCCAAA